CACGUUAUCAUUCUUGUUAGUUCUAAGUGAAUUCCCUCGGUAUGAUAAUUUGUUCAUCAGUUUGUUCCCCGUUUCUUCUCUAGCCUGAGCCUGACACACUAUUCUAGCUAGACAUGGGUGUGGCUCGUAACACCUGAUGACCAAACGGAUCUACGACACCAUCGAAUCUCAAACUUUAACUACCAAAACUAUUGUUUUUCAUCCUCUAGUCCCUUUUAGAAUUACUAAACGUCCUUUUUUGGGCCGAGAUUUCCAGGAACGCUUUCUCGGGGUUUGUGUGCAUGUAUUUCAAACCAUACAGACCUAAAAAUUAGAAGUCAUUCCAUCUUUAUUCCCGUAGAGCCUUCCAGCAGUUCCUAAACCGCUCCAGUCGGAGCAUGUUAUCAUUCUUGUUUGUUCUGAGUGAAUUCCCUCGGUAUGAUAAUUCUAUCAUCAGUUUGUUCCCCGUUUCUUCUCUAGCCUGAGCCUGGCAAACUAUUCNNNNNNNNNNNNNNNNNNNNNNNNNNNNNNNNNNNNNNNNNNNNNNNNNNNNNNNNNNNNNNNNNNNNNNNNNNNNNNNNNNNNNNNNNNNNNNNNNNNNNNNNNNNNNNNNNNNNNNNNNNNNNNNNNNNNNNNNCUAAACCGCUCUAGUCGGAGCACGUUAUCAUUCUUGUUAGUUCUGAGUGAAUUCCCUCGGUAUGAUAAUUCUUUCAUCAGUUUGUUCCCUGUUUCUUCUCUAGCCUGAGCCUGACACACUAUUCUAGCUAGACAUGGGUGUGGCUCGUAACACCUAAUGACCAAACGGAUCGACGGCACCAUCGAAUCUCAAACUUUAACUGCCAAAACUAUUGUUUUUCAUCCUGUUGUCCCAUUUAGAAUUACUAAACGUCCUUUUUUGGGCCGAGAUUUAGAGGAACGCUUUCUCGGGGUUUGUGUGCAAGUAUUUCAAACCAUACGGACCUAAAAAUUAGAAGUCAUUCCAUCUUUAUUCCCCUAGAGCCUUCCAGCAGUUCCUAAACCGCUCAAGUCAGAGCAUGUUAUCAUUCUUGUUAGUUCUGAGUGAAUUCCCUCGGUAUGAUAAUUCUUUCAUCAGUUUGUUCCCUGUUUCUUCUCUAGCCUGAGCCUGACACACUAUUCUAGCUAGACAUGGGUGUGGCUCGUAACACCUGAUGACCAAACGGAUCUACGACACCAUUGAAUCUCAAACUUUAACUACCAAAACUAUUAUUUUUCAUCCUGUAGUCCCUUUUAGAAUUACUAAACGUCCUUUUUUGGGCCGAGAUUUCCAAGAACGCUUUCUCGUGGUUUGUGUGCAAGUAUUUCAAACCAUACAGACCUAAAAAUUAGAAGUCAUUCCAUCUUUAUGCCCGUAGAGCCUUCCAGCAGUUCCUAAACCGCUCCAGUCGGAGCACGUUAUCAUUCUUAUUAGUUCUGAGUGAAUUCCCUCAGUAUGAUAAUUCUUUCAUAAGUUUGUUCCCCAUUUCUUCUCUAGCCUGAGCCUGGCACACUAUUCUAGCUAGACAUGGGUGUGGCUCAUAACACUUGUUGACUAAAUGGAUCGACGGCACCAUCGAAUCUCAAACUUUAACUGCCAAAACUAUUGUUUUUCAUCCUGUAGUCCCAUUUAGAAUUAUUAAACGUCCUUUUUUGGGCCGAUAUUUAGAGUAAUGCUUUCUCGGGGUUUGUCUGCAAGUAUUUCAAACCAUACGGACCUAAAAAUUAGAAGUCAUUCCAUCUUUAUUCCCCUAGAGCCUUCCAGCAGUUCCUAAACCGCUCUAGUCGGAGCACGUUAUCAUUCUUGUUAGUUCUGAGUGAAUUCCCUCAGUAUGAUAAUUCUUUCAUCUGUUUGUUCCCCGUUUCUUCUCUAGCCUGAGCCUGACACACUAUUCAAGCUAGACAUGGAUGUGGCUCGUAACACCUGAUGACCAAACGGAUCUACGGCACCAUCGAAUCCCAAACUUUAACUGCCAAAACUAUUGUUUUUCAUCCUGUAGUCCCUUUUAGAAUUACUAAACGUCCUUUUUUGGGCCGAGAUUUCCAGGAAUGCUUUCUCGGGGUUUGUGUGCAAGUAUUUCAAACCAUACAAAGCUAGAAAUUAGAAGUCAUUCCAUCUUUAUUAUCGUAGAGCCUUCCAGCAGUUCCUAAACCGGUCUAGUCGGAGCACGUUAUCAUUCUAGUUAGUUCUGAGUGAAUUCCCUCGGUAUGAUAAUUCUUUCAUCAGUUUGUUCCCCGUUUCUUCUCUAGCCUGAGCCUGACAAACUAUUCUAGCUAGACAUGCGUGUGGCUCGUAACACCUGAUGACCAAACGGAUCUAUAGCACCAUCGAAUCUCAAACUUUAACUGCCAAAACUAUUGUUUUCAUCCUGUAGUCCCUUUUAGAAUUACUAAACUUCCUUUUUUGGGCCGAGAUUUAGAGGAACGCUUUCUGGGGUUUGUGUGCAAGUAUUUCAAACCAUACAGACCUAAAAAUUAGAAGUCAUUCCAUCUUUAUUCCCCUAGAGCCUUCCAGCAGUUCCUAAACCGCUCUAGUCGGAGCACGUUAUCAUUAUUGUUAGUUCUGAGUGAAUUCCCUCGGUAUGAUAAUUCUUUCAUCAGUUUGUUCCCUGUUUCUUCUCUAUCCUGAGCCUGACACACUAUUCUAGCUAGACAUGGGUGUGGCUCGUAACACCUGAUGACUAAAUGGAUCGACGGCACCAUCGAAUCUCAAACUUUAACUGCCAAAACUAUUGUUUUUCAUCCUGUAGUCCCAUUUAGAAUUAGUAAACGUCCUUUUUUGGGCCGAGAUUUAGAGGAACGCUUUCUCGGGGUUUGUGUGCAAGUAUUUCAAACCAUACGGACCUAAAAAUUAGAAGUCAUUCCAUCUUUAUUCCCCUAGUCAUCAGGUAUACACUCAAGUCGGAGCACGUUAUCAUUCUUGUUAGUUCUGAGUGAAUUCCCUCGGUAUGAUAAUUCUUUCAUAAAUUUGUUCCCCGUUUCUUAUAUGGCCUGAGCCUGACACACUAUUCUAGCUAGACAUGGGUGUGGCUCGUAACACCUGAUGACCAAACGGAUCUACGGCACCAUCAAAUCUCAAACUUUAACUGCCAAAACUAUUCUUUUUCAUUCUGUAGUCCCUUCUAGAAUUACUAAACGUCCUUUUUUGGGCCGAGAUUUCCAGGAACGCUUUCUCGGGGUUUGUGUGCAUGUAUUUCAAACCAUACAGACCUAAAAAUUAUAAGUCAUUCCAUCUUUAUUCCCGUAGAGCCUUCCAGUAGUUCCUAAACCGCUCCAGUCGGAGCAUGUUAUCAUUCUUGUUAGUUCUAAGUGAAUUCCCUCGGUAUGAUAAUUCUUUCAUCAGUUUGUUCCCCGUUUCUUCUCUAGCCUGAGCCUGGCACACUAGUCUAGCUAGACAUGGGUGUGGCUCGUAACACCCGAUGACUAAAUGGAUCGACGGCACCAUCGAAUCUCAAACUUUAACUGCCAAAACUAUUGUUUUUCAUCCUGUAGUCCCAUUUAGAAUUACUAAACGUCCUUUUUUGGGCCGAGAUUUAGAGGAACGCUUUCUCGUGGUUUGUGUGCAAGAAUUUCAAACCAUACGGACCUAAAAAUUAGAAGUCAUUCCAUCUUUAUUCCCCUAGAGCCUUCCAGUAGUUCCUAAACCGCUCUAGUCGGAGCACGUUAUCAUUCUUGUUAGUUCUGAGAGAAUUCCCUCGGUAUGAUAAUUCUUUUAUCAGUUUGUUCCCCGUUUCUUCUCUAGCCUGAGCCCGACACACUAUUCUAGCUAGACAUGGGUGUGGCUCGUAACACCUGAUGACCAAACGGAUCUACGGCACCAUCGAAUCUCAAACUUUAACUGCCAAAACUAUUGUUUUUCAUCCUGUAGUCCCUUUUAGAAUUACUAAAUGUCCUUUUUUGGGCCGAGAUUUCCAGGAACGCUUUCUCAGGGUUUGUGUGCAAGUAAUUCAAACCAUACGGACCUAAAAAUUAGAAGUCAUUCCAUCUUUAUUCCCCUAGAGCCUUCCAGCAGUUCCUAAACCGCUCAAGUCAGUGCACGUUAUCAUUCUUGUUAGUUCUAAGUGAAUUCCCUCGGUAUGAUAAUUUGUUCAUCAGUUUGUUCCCCGUUUCUUCUCUAGCCUGAGCCUGACACACUAUUCUAGCUAGACAUGGGUGUGGCUCGUAACACCUGAUGACCAAACGGAUCUACGACACCAUCGAAUCUCAAACUUUAACUACCAAAACUAUUGUUUUUCAUCCUCUAGUCCCUUUUAGAAUUACUAAACGUCCUUUUUUGGGCCGAGAUUUCCAGGAACGCUUUCUCGGGGUUUGUGUGCAUGUAUUUCAAACCAUACAGACCUAAAAAUUAGAAGUCAUUCCAUCUUUAUUCCCGUAGAGCCUUCCAGCAGUUCCUAAACCGCUCCAGUCGGAGCAUGUUAUCAUUCUUGUUUGUUCUGAGUGAAUUCCCUCGGUAUGAUAAUUCUAUCAUCAGUUUGUUCCCCGUUUCUUCUCUAGCCUGAGCCUGGCAAACUAUUCUAGCUAGACAUGGGUGUGGCUCGUAACACCUGAUGACCAAACGGAUCUACGACACCAUCGAAUCUCAAACUUUAACUACCAAAACUAUUGUUUUUCAUUCUAUAGUCCCUUCUAGAAUUUCUAAACGUCCUUUUUUGGGCCGAGAUUUCCAGGAAUGCUUUCUCGGGGUUUGUGUGCAAGUAUUUCAAAUCAUACGGACCUAAAAAUUAGAAGUCAUUCCAUCUUUAUUCCCCUAGAGCCUUCCAGUAGUUCCUAAACCGCUCCAGUCGGAGCACGUUAUCAUUCUUGUUAGUUCAUAGUGAAUUCCCUCGGUAUGAUAAUUCUUUCAUCAGUUUGUUCCCCGUUUCUUCUCUAGCCUGAGCCUGGCACAGUAUUCUAGCUAGACAUGGGUGUGGUCGUAACACCUGAUGACUAAAUGGAUCGACGGCACCAUCGAAUCUCAAACUUUAACUGCCAAAACUAUUGUUUUUCAUCCUGUAAUCCCAUUUAGAAUUACUAAACGUCCUUUUUUGGGCCGAGAUUUAGAGGAACGCUUUGUUGGGGUUUGUGUGCAAGUAUUUCAAACCAUACGGACCUAAAAAUUAGAACUCAUUCCAUAUUUAUUCCCCUUGAGCCUUCCAGCAGUUCCUAAACCGCUCUAGUCGGAGCACGUUAUCAUUCUUGUUAGUUCUAAGAGAAUUCCCUCGGUAUGAUAAUUCUUUUAUCAGUUUGUUCCCCGUUUCUUCUCUAGACUGGGCCCGACACACUAUUCUAGCUAGACAUGGGUGUGGCUCGUAACACCUGAUGACCAAACGGAUCUACGGCACCAUCGAAUCUCAAACUUCAACUGCCAAAACUAUUGUUUUUCAUCCUGUAGUCCCUUUUAGAAUUACUAAACGUCCUUUUUUGGGCCGAGAUUUCCAGGAACGCUUUCUCGGGGUUUGUGUGCAAGUAUUUCAAACCAUACGGACCUAAAAAUUAGAAGUCAUUCCAUCUUUAUUCCCGUAGAGCCAUCCAGCAGUUCCUAAACCGCUCCAGUCGGAGCACGUUAUCAUUCUUGUUAGUUCUGAGUGAAUUCCCUCGGUAUGAUAAUUCUUUCAUCAGUUUGUUCCCCGUUUCUUCUCUAGCCUGAGCCUGACAAACUAUUAUAGCUAGACAUGGGUGUGGCUCGUAACACCUGAUGACCAAACGGAUCUAUGGCACCAUCGAAUCUCAAACUUUAACUGCCAAAACUAUUGUUUUUCAUCCUGUAGUCCCUUUUAGAAUUACUAAACGCCCUUCUUUGGGACGAGAUUUCCAGGAACGCUUUCUCGGGGUUUGUGUGAAAGUAAUUCAAACCAUACGGACCUAAAAAUUAGAAGUCAUUCCAUCUUUAUUCCCGUGGAGCCUUCCAGUAGUUCCUAAACCGCUCCAGUCGGAGCACGUUAUCAUUCUUGUUAGUUCUGAGUGAAUUCCCUCGGUAUGAUAAUUCUUUCAUCAGUUUGUUCCCUGUUUCUUCUCUAGCCUGAGCCUGGCACACUAUUCUAGCUAGACAUGGGUGUGGCUCGUAACACCUGAUGACUAAACUGAUCAAUGACACCAUCGAAUCUCAAACUUUAACUGCCAAAACUAUUGUUUUUCAUCCUGUAGUCCCAUUUAGAAUUACUAAACGUCCUUUUUUGGGCCGAGAUUUCCAGGAACGCUUACUCGGGGUUUGUGUGCAAGUAUUUCAAACCAUACUGACCUAAAAAUUAGAAGUCAAUCCAUCUUUAUUCCCCUAGAGCCUUCCAGCAGUUCCUAAACCGCUCCAGUCGGAGCACGUUAUCAUUCUUGUUAGUUCUGAGUGAAUUCCCUCGGUAUGAUAAUUCUUUCAUCAGUUUGUUCCUUGUUUCUUCUCUAGCCUGAACCUGACACACUAUUCUAGCUAGACAUGGGUGUGGCUCGUAACACCUGAUGACCAAACGGAUCUACGGCACCAUCGAAUCUCAAACUUUAACUGCCAAAACUAUUAUUUUUAAUCCUCUAGUCCCAUUUAGAAUUACUAAACGUCCUUUUUUGGGCCGAGAUUUAGAGGAACGCUUUCAUGCGGUUUGUGUGCAAGUAUUUCAAACCAUACGGACCUAAAAAUUAGAAGUCAUUCCAUCUUUAUUCCCCUAGAGCCUUCCAGCAGUUCCUAAACCGCUCCAGUCGGAGCAUGUUAUCAUUCUUGUUAGUUCUGAGUGAAUUCCCUCGGUAUGAUAAUUCUUUCAUCAGUUUGUGGCCCGUUUCUUCUCUAGCCUGAGCCUGACACACUAUUCUAGCUAGACGUGGGUGUGGCUCGUAACACCUGAUGACCAAACGGAUCUACGGCACCAUCGAAUCUCAAACUUUAAGUGCCAAAACUAUUAUUUUUAAUCCUGUAGUCCCAUUUAGAAUUACAAAAAUGUCCUUUUUUGGGCUGAGAUUUCCAGGAACGCUUUCGUGCGGUUUGUGUGCAAGUAUUUCAAACCAUACAGAC
rnacentral:lncRNA from 1 species